AUUGAACGCUGGCGGCAUGCUUUACACAUGCAAGUCGAACGGCAGCACGGGCUUCGGCCUGGUGGCGAGUGGCGAACGGGUGAGUAAUAUAUCGGAACGUACCCAGAAGUGGGGGAUAACGUAGCGAAAGUUACGCUAAUACCGCAUACGAUCUAUGGAUGAAAGCAGGGGACCGCAAGGCCUUGUGCUCCUGGAGCGGCCGAUAUCUGAUUAGCUAGUUGGUGAGGUAAAGGCCCACCAAGGCGACGAUCAGUAGCUGGUCUGAGAGGACGACCAGCCACACUGGAACUGAGACACGGUCCAGACUCCUACGGGAGGCAGCAGUGGGGAAUUUUGGACAAUGGGCGCAAGCCUGAUCCAGCAAUGCCGCGUGAGUGAAGAAGGCCUUCGGGUUGUAAAGCUCUUUUGUCAGGGAAGAAACGGUAGAGGCUAAUAUCCUGUGCUAAUGACGGUACCUGAAGAAUAAGCACCGGCUAACUACGUG
rnacentral:rRNA from 1 species